rfam:Glycine soja cultivar W05 scaffold271_62, whole genome shotgun sequence.
AAGUGUCACGUCAUCACAUCUAAUCAUUGACAUGUUAUUGUCACGUCAUUGGAGGUGAUGAUGUGACAAUGAAGUGUGUAUGACGAGACGUGAUGACGUGACACUCCAU